UUUAAUGGCCCUUUCCUAUUUGGGCCGACCCUACCUUCAUUCCUUCUCUCUCUCUCUCUCUCUCUCUCUCUCUCUCUUUCUGAAUUUGAAAGGGUUCACGGAAGCGCGUGAGAACCAGAACUCUGAUGAUGAGCACACACAUUAGAAGCGCAGCCGAAUCUGAUUUCUACAUCUAGUGGCCAUUGUGAGAACUGGGAUGGCAGAAGCAAAGGCAUGAAAGGUUUCAAUUGACUGCUGUUGUGGCUUCUGAUUCCAGUGAUAAAUCAAAAGAGAAAUCAGGGGAUCAAAAGGCAUAUGUGCAACAACUUGAGAGUAGCCGCCUAAAGCUAAAUCAACUAGAAUGAGAGCUCUGGUGAGCCCGCCAGCAGGGCAUAUUUAUCUCAAGCUCAGGAGAUUAAUCCCAUUUAAUGAGUGGAAAUGCUUCUUGUGAAUCAAUUGGAGCCUUUAAUUGAGAUGCUCUGUUACUAGGCAUGGAGGCAUUGCAACAAUCCCUGGCUGAGACAUUGACCAAUGGCUCACCUGGCCGGUUAGGAUCAUCUGGGAAUGUAGCAAACUACAUAGGAAAGCUUGGAACACUUGAGGGAUUCAUUUGCCAGGUUGACAAUGUGCAUAAAAAAACACUAUAACAAUGCACCGUAUAUUGAUAACUAGGCAAUCAGCUCAUGCACUUCUUGCAAUAAAUGACUAUUCCUUUCAUCUUCAAGCCCUUAGUCUCCUCUGGCUUGUGCGGUCACGGAAAUGAGAAGCACAAAAAUUGUCUUGAUGAAGUUCUUUUGAAGACUGGCUCAACCCAUCCUAUCAAAGGAUCAUUAAGCAUUGAGUUCGUACUGGAUCAGUCAUGAUUCACCAUUAAGUGGAUUGCUGUCAAUCUUUAACCCCAAAUUCCUUUAGGGAUUGGGUUGUCAUGCAUUAGUCAUAUUGAUGAUGAAAUUGAAAGUUGCAAAUCUCUUUGUUGUUGAUUUGGUCUCCAUUUGCACUUCUAGUGUCACAUGUGUUUACCUAGGUCAUAUAUUCUCAUUUCUUAUGUUGUUGAUUUGGUCUCCAUAUGCACUUCUAGUGUCACAUAUGUUUACCUAUGUCGUUUAUUCUCAUUUCUUAUGUUUAAACUAUAGUUCUAAUAAUCUGAUUAUGUUAGAUGUUUAAUAGAACCAUGAAGGACAAUAGGAUAGUAUUUGUAAUGUAGGUUACAGUAAUCAGUUUGUAUACCAAAAUUAGAUUAUAUAUUGGUGAAAGAAUUCAUUUUUGGUGUUUGGAUUAAUUCAUAUUCAACAUGUAAUAUGUUUUUAUGCACAAUUUCAUUGGCUAUGAGAAUUCCGUAGGCUGGUUGUAUCAUUUGGUUUUAGUGGAAAGUCAAUUUUGUAUGCGGAAAUAUAUCAUGUGUUGGGGAAGUUUGGCUAUUGUUGGGUUUCAUCAAAAUGAUUUACUGCUUUCUUGUGCAAAGAAACGUACAUUAACUUGGUUCUAGUUUAAAGAAACUUAAUAACUACAAGAUUAUCAAGUAGAUAAAUUAGUAUGAAUAUGAGUAUAUUUACUUAGCAUUCAAAUGUGGAGAUAAUGCAUGGCAUUCACAUAUAGGGCUCAUAAACACUCAAUUUUUUCAAUUUUGGAGUCUUAUGGAUAAAAGAUUGAACAUAGAUGAAAACAAGAAUAUAAUCACACUAUGGUCUUCUUGGAAUACACACACACACAAAAAUAGCAUAAGAUAGAUCCAGCUAGCUUCACCACUAAAAGAAACAAUAUAAGGCCCUGUUUGGAAUGAGCAUAAACUUUAGAUGUGUUUCUCAUAAGGUUUAUGACAAUGCUUCCUUCUACAUGUAUAUGCCAGCAUCAUAUCCUCUUUAGAAACUUGAGGCUGAAAAGCACGUAAUUGAUACCACUUGUUACCACAUACAAGCAAGUGAGACAUUAGAUUUACAGUGAGUUAAAUGGGAUUACUUUCAUACAUCUAUAUAUGAUGAGGAAAAAGGACACUUAUUGUUUAAUGAAUUUGAUUAGUAUCAUAUUUUAAAGAUUUCAACUUAAUUACUAGAAUAUGAUGUUUUUGUUCUUAUAAU